rnacentral:rRNA from 1 species
UCAAAAACAUGGCCUUUUGAGAAUAAUUUAAGGUCAGGCCUGCCCACUGAAUAUUAAAGGGCCGCGGUAAUUUGACCGUGCUAAGGUAGCAUAAUCAUUAGUUUCUUAAUUAGAAGCUAGAAUGAAGGGUUUCAUGAAAAAACGAUUGUCUCUGUUUAAUAAUUAUAGAAUUUUAUUUUUAAGUAAGAAAGCUUAAAUUAAUUUAAAAGACGAGAAGACCCUAUAGAGUUUAAUAUUAUAAGUAAUAAUAUUUUAUUGGUAUAAUAAUUUUUUAUUAUUUUUAAUAUUUAAUUGGGGUGAUUGAAAAAUUGAAUAAACUUUUUUUAUUAUAAGUCAUUAAUUUAUGAAUAUUUGAUCCAUUAAUAGUGAUUAUAAGAAAAAAUUACCUUAGGGAUAACAGCGUUAUUUUUUUUGAGAGUUCUUAUCGAAAAAAAAGAUUGCGACCUCGAUGUUGGAUUAAAAUUAAUUCUUGGUGCAGAAGUUAGGAAUUUUAGGUCUGUUCGACCUUUAAAAUUUUACAUGAUCUGA